CUUAGAACUUCAGUUUCGAGGUUUAUCUACAAAAGACUCAACAGUGACGCUCUGCUUUGAAAAAUUACAAAAGAGGGGCGAAAAAUACCAGAGGGAAAGUCAAACUAAUAGAUCGAAAAUAAACUGACAACGCCAUGGCUAAAAAAGAAGAAGACCAACAGACAAGUGAUAGUACAUGUAUAAGACACAACAUAGAAAACUAAAGACUAAAAACACGAACCCCAACAAAAACUGGGGUGAUAUUAUGGACCCGGAAGGAUAAUCAAAUCCUGCUCCACAUGAGGCAACCGUCGUGUUGCUCAUGUUAUCACAAACCCUCUUAGAAGUAAAAGAGCAUCGAGG
rnacentral:lncRNA from 1 species